rnacentral:rRNA from 1 species
UACGUAGGGGGCUAGCGUUGUCCGGAAUCAUUGGGCGUAAAGAGCGUGUAGGCGGUCCGGUAAGUCCGCUGUGAAAGUCGGGGGCUCAACCCUCGAAUGCCGGUGGAUACUGUCGGGCUAGAGUGCGGAAGAGGCGAGUGGAAUUCCUGGUGUAGCGGUGAAAUGCGCAGAUAUCAGGAGGAACACCCGUGGCGAAGGCGGCUCUCUGGGACGGUACUGACGCUGAGACGCGAAAGCGUGGAGAGCGAACAGG